GUCAAACGCGUUCCUUAUUUUCUCCCACGAAACCCACACUCAAUUAUAUAACGGGACGUUUAGUUAGUUGAAAACCUUUUUUCUACAAAUUCAUUAGUGGCGACGAGGAUAAAUUCGGUUUUGGUGCGGCAGCUGUACGAAUAGCUGAUUUUUUUUUCGGUUUUGUUUUUCGAACCGUCGGAGACACAAUUCGCCCCAGUUGGCCGGAAGAUAAAGUGAAAAAAAAGAUUUCUACUAUCUGCAUAGUGGGAGAUUUGUGCGGCAAAACUUGGAAUAAAUUAACGGAUCCGCUUUUCAGUUUCAUUGGAAAUUCGGUUGUUUCGUGGUGAGAUUGACGAAUUCAUCGGAUCAUGGUUGGAAACGAGGCGACAACCACCGUCCAUCCCACUCAAAUCAGAGUCGCUAAGGAUGGACGCGGCACAUCGGGCGUGCCAAGGCGAGCGAUGCGUGUUGUCGAGGAUGGUUGGCCGCUACCGACUGACGACGACACUCCUGGUUCUUGUCGGCCGCUUCCGACUACCGUGGAACCCGCGAUGGCACCCGUACCCAUGAUCGAGAACGAUAUCUGGCAGUUACCAGAUCGGA